GAUGAAGAACGUAGCGAAAUGCGAUAAGUAAUGUGAAUUGCAGAAUUCCGUGAAUCAUCGAGUCUUUGAACGCACAUUGCGCCCCCUGGUAUUCCGGGGGGCAUGCCUGUCCGAGCGUCAUUGCUGCCCUCAAGCACGGCUUGUGUGUUGGGCUCCGUCCCCCCGGGGACGGGCCCGAAAGGCAGCGGCGGCACCGAGUCCGGUCCUCGAGCGUAUGGGGCUUUGUCACCCGCUCUGUAGGCCCGGCCGGCGCCAGCCGACAACCCAUCAUCCUUUUCAGGUUGACCUCGGAUCAGGUAGGGAUACCCGCUGAACUUAAGCAUAUCAAUAAGCGGAGGA
rnacentral:misc_RNA from 1 species